AAACAAGGACCACAUUGUUGCUUUAGCAACAUUAGAACGAUAAAGAGAUUAGUAUGGUCUGUGCACAAGAAUGACAUACAAAUUUGUGAAAUGUUCUAUAUUUAG